rnacentral:misc_RNA from 1 species
AUUGUCUUGUACAACAAAUCUUGAGUGGGACUUCUAGUAGUUUGAUGGUAAGAAUGCCUUUUUACAUGGAGACUUAGAGGAAGAGAUGUAUAUGCCAAUUCCUCUAGGGUUUGAUGAUGAUAAAACCAAUGUAAAGGUUUACAGACUGAAAAAAGGCAUUAUAUGACCUGAAGCAAUCAUCUAGAGCAUGGUUUAAUAGAUUCAGCAAAGCCAUGAUAUCUUUUGCCGAUUAUCCAAAUAAUGUUGAUCAUACCCUAUUUAUGAAACAUUGUAGAGAGAAGAUCACACUGCUUAUUGUCAUGUUGACGAUCAAGUUAUAACAGGAGAUGAUAAGGA